UACAGGGGGUGCAAACGUUGCUCGGAAUCAUUGGGCGUAAAGCGCACGUAGGCGGUUCGUUCUGUCGGAUGUGAAAGCCCUUGGCUUAACCGAGGAAGUGCAUCCGAAACUGGCGAGCUAGAGUACGAAAGAGGAUCGCGGAAUUCCCGGUGUAGAGGUGAAAUUCGUAGAUAUCGGGAGGAACACCGGUGGCGAAGGCGGCGAUCUGGGUCGAUACCGACGCUGAGGUGCGAAAGCGUGGGGAGCAAACAGG
rnacentral:rRNA from 1 species